GGGCUUGUGGUUUAGUGGUAUAAUGCUCCCUUAGCAUCUGCUAAUAUGGGAGCGGUCCGGGGUUCGAUUCCCCGCGAGUCCA